GGCGCGUGGCCACACUCACUUAGAUCUUAGAAGAAAGUCAUAAACCUUGACCAAAUCCAAAACUUUCUGCUAACCAAAGUACUAUAAGAUAGUGAGGGACGGAGUUAAAGAGAGUGUGAGUGAAUCAGUAGUGGUGGCUGAAUCAAAAGAAAACUAGGGUGUGUGCCGAUCCAUUUUUGUGGGCAAACACCUUCAAAUUUUUCCCACGCUUUGUUUCAAUCAUAGCUACAUACAAACCCAUUUUUUUCUCACCAGUCAAACAGGACAUGUUCAUCAAAUUGAAUAGAACUGAGGUGAUGUGCUUAUGUUUGUGAUGUAAGGAGCAAACUUCGCGGCUUUGGUGAUCAGGCCUUAGGAUAUUGAUUUUGCCAUCAUGGAGACUAAAAAUGAACUAGAGCCCAAAGAAGGAUUGACAAUAAUGCUUCCUCCACCACCUGGAACUUUCCAAGACCGUGAAGACCUCAUUAAACAUGUGUGUGACUUUGGUGCCAAUGAAAGAUAUGUUGUGACCAUCAAGAAGUCCAGAAAAGAUAGAAGAGUCAUUCUUGGAUGUGACAGGAGAGGUGUCUAUCAUAAUAGGCACAAAAUUGAGGAAAGUAAGCGCAAAAGGAAAGCAACUUCACGCCUUAUAAACUGUCCUUUUGAAGCCAUAGGUAAAAAACAAAAUGACAUGUGGCUACUCACUAUAAAAAAUGGAGAUCACAAUCAUGAACCAUUGAAAGACAUGUCAUAACAUCCUUAUAGUUGACGUUUCACUGAGGAACAAGUCAAACAAAUCAAACUUAUGACUGAAGCUGGUAUAAAACCUCGUCAAGUGCUUAAAACUCUCAAGCAAAGCAAUCUACAACUGCAGUCAACACCACGCCAUUUAUACAACCUCAAAGCAAAGAUUCGUCAGGGAAAGCUAUCAGAUAAAACCUUCAAGUCAUUGAGGUCAAAUAGAUCUAUGUCUGUUGAGGGGAACAACAGUUCAUCUGAUGGUUCAUUAAACCUAAACUACCACCUGGCAACACAAGAAGUUGUAUCUCAAGUUCCUUUGACCACAUAUGAAGAAUUUAAAGCAGCAAUUGUUGCAGCCAAGCAAGCAUUUCCUUCAUGGAAAAACACUCCUAUUACCACUCGUCAACGUAUUAUGUUUAAACUUCAGGAUCUUAUUCACAGAGAUAUUGAUAAGCUUGCCAUGAACAUCACCACAGAACAAGGAAAGACAUUAAAGGGUGCCAGAGGAGAUGUGCUUCAUGGUUUAGAGAUGGUAGAGCAUGCUUGUGGGAUGGCAAAUCUACAAAUGGGAGAAUUUGUUCCUAAUGCUUGUAAUGGAAUUGAUACAUACUGCAUCAGAGAUCCCCUUGGAGUUUGUGCUGGGAUAUGCCCGAUUAACUUUCCUGCAAUGACACCCUUGUGGAUGUUCCCUAUCGCAAUAACAUGUGGCAACACUUUUAUUCUUAAGCCAUGUGAAAAUAAUCCAGGAGCUUCAAUGAUACUUGUAGCAUUAGCAAUGGAAGCUGGUUUGCCCGAUGGUGUUUUAAACGUUGUACAUGGAACUCAUGUAUGUUAUACUAUGCAAGAAGAGAUUGUUAAUUACAUAUGCGAUGAUGAGGAUAUAAAAGCUGUGUCAUUCAAUGGUUCAAUUACAUCAAAUGCAGGUGGCAUAAAUCAUGUAGUUGUUAUGCCAGAUGCUAGCAUGGAUGCUACUUUAGAUGCCCUUGUUUCUGCUGGUUUCCGUGCAGCAGGAGAGAGGUCCAUGGCUUUAAACACAGCUAUCUUUGUGGGAGGUUCAAUGCAAUGGGAAGAUGAAUUGGUGCAGCGUGCCAAAGCACUUAGAGUGAAUGUAGGAACAGAUCCUGAUGCAUACCUAGGUCCAGUUAUUAGCAGAGAGGUAAAAGAUAGGAUAUGUGGACUAGUUCAGAAUGCUGUUGAAAAUGGUGCAAGACUCCUACUUGAUGGGAGGCACAUUAUGGUAUUAAACUUUUCUUUUGGAAGAAAUGAAGUUCAGACCUUACCUGACAGGUGCCUGGAUAUGAGAAUGGAAAUUUUGUUGGCCCUACUAUCUUAUGUGAUGUCACAACCAACAUGGAGUGUUACAAGGAAGAAAUUUUUGGACCAGUUCUUCUUUGCAUGCAGAUAUGGAAAUGGAGCUUCUGUCUUCACCGACUCUGGUAUGGUUGCUAGGAAGUUCCAACAUGAGGUUGAAGCUGUACUGGUUGGGAUCAACGUGCCUGUACCUAUUCCGUUACCAUUUUCCUCUAAUUAUGAGUCAAAAGCAUCUUUUGCCGGCAAUUUCAAUUUUUGUGUUGCAGGAAGAACAGGAGUACAAUUUUGUACCCAAAUAAAAAAAGUGGCAAAAAGAUGGAAGGUGUUCCGUUCAACUUUGGCCGAGGCGUGUAUCUUCAGCGAGGCCGUCUGCUUUAGGAGAGAGUUAUAAGUCGCCUCGAGAAUGUGCUUGGAGUUAACCUCGGCUCUUGCGAAACACGGUGGCGGGAGCACCUGUAAAAAGCACUCCGACGCUCAAGUCAGAAAGAUGAGCAGAGGGUCUACAUUUUUGGGUUUGCUGCGAUAUUCUUGGUGGGAUCCGUUUGUUAGUAACGGGCCGAAAAUAAGGUGGAUGGGUCCCUCAUCUUGAUCCUAAUCGGUUCCAAUCGUUUUUGAAAAAGAAAAAAAGAAGAACGUUUGAGGUUCUGGGAUUUCGAAGGAGGAUGUGGGGCAGGCUGCUCAGUCCAUUGCUCAGCCAGAGUCAUCAUACAAGAGAAAAAGGGGUGAGACUGACAAUUCACUGGAGGUCAUCUCUGAGGCUGAUCAGGAGGUUGUGGGUGGCAUUAAGCCUGUCUUUGAUCGUCAGAGAAAACUUCACGGUUUCGUUCCGGGGACUAGCUCCCAUUCAUUAUGGAGUGACCAGUUUCCUUUUGCUGAGUUGUCUGAUAAGGUGUCCCAGUAUCCAAGCGACAUGCUUAUGACACGUCGGGUUGGCAUGGAGGGUCUUGGGAAGUUUGUUCAGAUUGUUGCAGCCCGUUUGAUGUGUGCUGGUCGUACAGCCGAGCUCAUUGGUGCCGAGCAGCAGGUGGCUGUGGAUAAAGUUGCUGACUUAGAGAAGUCGUACAAAGCUAAGGUUGCUGAACUGGAGAGCUUGUCCAAAGUGAAGGAUGAUGCUCUUGCUACUGCUACAGCCAAAAUGAAGGAAUCCGAGGAGGAGGUAGUCCAUUUAAGGGACCAGGUUCGGCUACUUCAGUCUGAGAUUAAGGAGAGUGAUAUCUCUAAAGGGAAGCUGACUUCAUGAGUUCAUGAGUUGGAAGAAGAGGGAAUGGAGAUGUUCUCUUUGGGAUUUGACCGUGCUGUUAGUCAGAUUGCAUUGUUAGCUCCUGGUUUUGAUUGUGACCAACUUGAUGUCACUAAGGUUGUGAUUGGUGGUAAGUUGGUGGUUGAUGGAACUGCGGAGGAGCAUGGUGAAAAUGCGCCUCCGUCUUGAUGUUGUUAUCUAUGUUUCGGACAUAUUUAUUUUCGUUAUGAUACAGACUUUUUAUUUUGUGCUGACCGGGUUGUGGUCAGCUUUAUUGUGAUGUUGGAUGUUUUGAACUCGUAACUUGUUGAUAUAUGACCGAGGUCAGUUGGAUAGUAUUGCUUUCGCGUUA